rnacentral:tRNA from 1 species
GGAGAGGUGUCCGAGCGGUUGAAGGGGGCGGUCUCGAAAACCGUUGUACCUUAUGGGUACCCGGGGUUCGAAUCCAUGCCUCUCCG